rnacentral:tRNA from 1 species
UCUCCCGUCAUCUAGCGGUCUAGGAUACCGGCCUUUCACGUCGGGCACACGAGUUCAAAUCUCGUCGGGAGAACCA